UGUUGUUGUUAUGUACCCUACGG
rnacentral:piRNA from 1 species